GACACGCACGCUUCGCCCCCAGGAAUGACCUCAUCGCUCCGGAGCUCCACUCACAGACCCCACCUACCACAGGGAACGGGGGCGGGUGCCAGCGUCCGGGCAAGCGCACAAGAGUGGCCUCUGGCCGGAGGCGAGGGCGGGAAGGUGCGGGAAGUGCGCGUGCGCGGAGCCUGGGUCAGCCUGGGCCCGGGUCCGCUUGCAGCGGGUGGAGUACUUGCGGAGCCGGCAAUCCAGGCUCCCCUCCCAGCCCCCGCGCAGAAUUAGCCUCUCUGUGCCGCCGGGAAAUCGGCAAUUAGAACGCUCCUUGCGCGCGGCACCCAGGCAGCCCUCGAGAAUGCCUGCACUGUGGCCUGCCCAUCCUCGCCCUUCCCAUACGCCCUCGGCCCCGCGCUCACCACGUUCGUGUCCCGCUCCACCGCGGGUUCCCAGCCCAGGUCCCGGGGCCCGCAACAGUCCAGGCAGACGAGCGCGCGGCAGCGGUAGUGGCAGGUGAACUUGCAAUCUGCAGAGAGGCCUGGCGGUGAGGCGGAGGAGCUCCAGGUCGGGGAAAUGUCCCGGAGAUUGAAGGGAAGCCCCAGGGAGAGGGCCGCUGCUCGCCAGGCUCCGCAGGCCCGACCUAUCUCAGUGGGUUACCUCACACUGCUACGCGGACUCUAAUGUUGGCCACCUGGGCGUCUGGAAACCGGCCGGAAGGCCACAGGCAGAGAGGCCUGCUCAACAGUUGGAUCUCUAUCGCCUAGCACAGAACUUCCCCUUUCCUCAUUGGCAAUUAAAAAAACAACAACAAAAAA
rnacentral:lncRNA from 1 species